rnacentral:lncRNA from 1 species
GAAAGAAGCAGGAAUAAGGAGAACAAGGAAGAAGCAGAAUAAAGAAAAUCGAUUACGAUAGAGAAAGGCAGCUGAAGAGUUAACAGCAUCCCGUCUGCAGGAUACCUACUGCUACAAAAGAUAACACAGGGCAAACAUAGAGAACAAGCUCUUCAUCUUUUUCACUUAAAUCUGAGCAAAUGCAGCACCAAUGAGAGAAAGCAGAUCUGCAUGCAUCCAUGCGGUCCUCAUCCCCAAACAAGAUGAUGGAGUAAGUUUCCCACACUCUGCUGUGUCAAUGUGUCAUGACCUUUCUCCCAAGGUGACACCUUUUGGGUAACAGCACUCAGUCUCUGCUGUCUUUCAGUCAUGUUUGUCUGCCUUCUUGUGGAAGCUGACUCCAGGCUCACCAGACGCUGCCAGAGUGGUGAUUUAGGAAUUCAGAGUGGUCCUGCCAAAUUGCUCUGCUUACAUCACUUGCUGAGGACAGCAGCCAGGUAGCUAACGGUGAACUUUGAGUCACUGUUGAUCUGGGCCAGACAUGAAAUAGUGAUAUAAAGAGAAAAAGCUCUCCACUUCCAGUUCCUGAACCAGCAAGUCAU